GGGCAUGAGGCAGCUACACACAAACUCUCAGCUCUCCACCUCUUUCUUAUCUAGCGACCGUACAGCUUUCAGGUUUCCCCACACUCUCGUCGCUGCGAGUGCGUGCAAGGUGCUGCUGCACGCACUGCAGGUCGCCGGGCCGGCGGAUGGUCCACGGCUUCCUUCUGUGUGGCAAGGCAGUCCAAAAGAGAAUCUCAAAAAGGACAUUUAUCACUGCGGGGAAAUGAACAGAUCUGCUCUACUGCAUGUACAACCAGACUGACUGGGCUGAAUCUAUGAUCUGAUCUGGGUAGCUUCCUCUCCAUCGAGUUGUCUGGGUUCCAGUGACAACUUGUGGAUUCCAAAAGAGCCUUCUGCAAAGCUAACAUAAUCAUGCAGAUCAGCAGCUGCCAAAUGCUUGAUGGAAAUGUACAUCUUCAACUGAACAGUUGAUGCAUUUCUGAGGUCACAUGGGAAAUUAGGCCAGGGUCUCGACGCAAUAAGUGCAACAGCACGAUCCGUGGGAUGGUCAAGAGUUACUGGGAAGCAGAACUUAAGGAUCUAAAGAGAAUAUCAGGAUGCAGCAUAUUUUCCUUAUGCGCAAGUACAGGACUGUUUAGGGAUUUAAACACAAACCGUGUCACUAGAUACUGGACCAGCGAAGAAGUGAUGAUUCACUACCAAUAAAGGUAUGUAUACAUUUCUAGAACUAAUAGAUUUAGAAAGUUUAGCUUUAAGAUGGCUCUGGAAUAACAGAGAGACUCUUUAAAUCUCUCUUGAUCUCUUGAAAUUUAACAAACAAAUAAAUUACAUGGUCAAAAGUUCUCAUGCUUUCAGGUGGAAGUGGAGGGCCAUACAAUAUAACUUCUGUCUAGCUGUUUCUAACUGUAGGAAACUGUAGUACAAUUUUUAUAUGCAAGAUAUGCUUAUUGAGCUUUGAACAGAGGAGUGGUUUCCAAGAUUCAAAGGUAAGAAUAUGCUGUGUUGAAACUAAUCUAAAGCCAAAACAGGACAAAAUGCAAUAAUGAUUUGGAUAUGGCGAUAACAUUAUACUCUUCCAGGAAGUCCUUCCUGGAAUUAAUCACCAUUAUAGCUCAAAAUUACACUCCAAAUUCUGAAAUCAUGAAGCGUUUUCCUUGGGACAUACUGAAGGAGUGUGACGUUUUUGACUCACUGGCCAAAAAAAUAAAAUAAUACAAAACAAAUGUCAUCAAUCGAGCACACUUUUAGUGAUGAAAAUACAUGUUUUAUGUCACUUAUACAUUAGCUUUAUUAAGAAUCGUUGAGGUAAUAUGGAAUCAUGUUGAAUUCAAAACUAAAAGUCUGAGUUUUAAGAAACGCAUUUCAACAAACCGAUCAGCAGUUCAUGAUGAGUGGAUGCUGGUGUUUUCUAUGUCAGGGACAUUCAUAAUAAUCACAGUGAACACAGGAAUUUAGUGGAAGUGAUGCUGAUGUCAUGCAAAUAUGGUGCCAUUUGUUUAUAACAAGACAGCAUUGUACCUGGUUUUGGGGGAAAAACGCAAUAAAGCACUUGAAUGUGUGUCACACUCAGGAAAGUUGAAAACCCAGAAUUUAGACAAGCUUAUCUCUUGUUAUGUGAACAGCCUUCCUGUCAGAUGAUCACAAUGGACAAAUUUCAAUGCUUAUGGGUGUCAGUAUAUUGCCUAACAGUAAUUAUGACAGCCAUAAUAUUUGAUGUAUUACUAAUGAAAUAAGUUUAUAACACACAAAAACCUCUUUAAUUUGAAUAAUUGUUCUUUUUGUACAGCUUCGGUGCUGUUAUGGUUACAGACUCUCUCUCCAUUUUUCUGAGAGUGAACACUGUCAUAAAGGGGACAAAACUCAUUUAAAAAAAGCCCAACCUACCCACGUUUGGAGUCUUUUGAGCUUACUAUAACAGUAAACCAGACCAAGCACAUGCCACAAACAUUUACUCAGCAAUGUUAGCCAACUAGUGGGUUAAUGUUGGACACUGAAUGCCUGUUGUAUCAUUUGAAUGUGUAGACACAAAGGACUAUGUAGACUUAAACCUGAGAAUUUAUAAUCUUUUCAUAUAAAAAUCAAAGCAUUUCCUGCUUAGAUAGUCAAAUUAUUAUGGCUGCUUUUAACUCUAGUAAGAAAUCUCACAAAAUUCUUCCCACUGAGGUAAUAUUUUGUAAUAUCCUAUCCUCCUUGUUGUUACUGUCACACUGGAGCAGUGGGUAUAAAUCUUCCCUUAACUUGAAAUUAUGUGCAUGUGUGUUCAUAAUAAAGCUAUUCCAUCUUGCCCCAGCAUAGUCCAGAAUGAAACAUUCCAGCACAGAGCACCUGUUCAAAUCUCUCAAACUGAUUCUGCACCGAUACAUCACUGCAAACAACUGUGCAACAGCCUGAUUUUCAGCUUUACAAAUUGGUUAAUUCCUCACACAAUAAACCUGCCAAUGUCAUUUGAGGGAAUAUUGCCCAAACAAAUGCACAACUGAGCUCAGUGAAUCUACAGCUUGGUGGCCAUAUGUUGUUAUGGCAAUAGUGGCUACCCACAAACAAAACAUGUAGCAGAGCAAUCCUGUUUUUGUUUUGUUUUUUCCUUCCCUGUUGUUCUUUCUAAUCUCUUAGUGCUCCUCGUGUGUCAGCGUUUCGCUUUCUGACUCCUGGAGGUCAGAUGAGUAGGAGGUCAAACGGACCGAUAUUAACACAAACACAAAAUAAGAUCUGGCUUCCUUGGAAAACAUCAAGGUCACGCAUGGUUUUCCAGGUAAAAUUUGAUGUGAGAUUGGUGACAAGGUAAUGUAGCAUAGUGGAAGAAAGUGAAAGUGAUAUGCUCAAUGAAGCUGUUUUUUUUUUUUUUUUUGCUGAAUUGGCAUUUUGUCUUUACUUUCCAGGCAUUUCUGUUUGUCAGUUUGAGAAAACAACACUUCUGCACGCUUCCAAAGGAGCCUACUAUCUUGGUUAGUUUAUUGAUACUUACAGGCAGUGUGUAUAUGCAGGGUGCACCAACAUGCUAUCUACCUGCAAGUAAUAAAAUAACAAACAAAAAAAAUGUCAUGCUAUCAAAUGAUAGUAAUCAAGGUAACGCAUGGUGCUGCUGGUAAAAAUCUGGAGACUUCGGAGGCUCCCACGCUGGUGCUUUGUUUUCAUAGAGCACUUAACAUGAAACAUGAUACAGGCCUCAAUAGGCCUACAUUUAAUAAUCAUAUGAUAAGAACCUCCAACAGGGUCUGUGAGCAAUGCCUAGUUCAGCCUUUUUUGUGUUUAUUUCAGUAGCUAUUGGGCAAUGCAUUGAGGGACUAUGAGAAUUCACUUAACAGGCUAACAAUAAGCUUCUGGAAUGGUCUUCACAAAGCCCCCAAAGUCUGUAGACUAUACUUAAAAGCCUGGUCUGAACCGGGACUUGCACCAGAAGCUUGUUGAUCGCUACCAAUAGCUUCCUGCAGAGAUGCAACUUGCUAAGUGACAUUUAAACAAAUAUUAGUACACUUUUGACUCCGUAUGGAUUUGAGAAAAUUCUAAAUCAAUUUAAAGUUGUGCGCAUAAUUCUUGUUUUUUAAAGUCAUAACUGUACAAACAGUUCAAAUAAAUUAUGAAAAGCCCAAAAUCUAAUAAAGACAAGAGAAGCCCCCUGAAAACAGCAAAAUUCUUUUGGUGUGUUGUAGAUCUCAAGCUGAGCAAGAACCAUAGUCAUUGCUCUCUAGACUUAUUCACAAGGAAGUUGCGGCCUGUCACGAUGUGAGUGAAGAAGUCCUCACAUGCUCAUGUCAUUCUGGAAAUGAGUAAAUGAUACUGAAAAUUGCAGCAAUUAUUGGCAACUUAAGGUCCACUUCUGAGCCCUAGGAGAAUUAGAGGAGAAAAUACAGACUCAGUCUUCAAAGGCAAUUAGUCUUCAUAUUGUAGUGUGUCCAUUCAGUGAGUGUUCUACCCACUCAUGGGACAGCACAUGUGGACAUGGCUAAUAGUCUCUGUUAAUGAGCCAAUCGUUCAUUAUCAAUCUUCUGGGAGGCACAGUGUGAGAGCGGCAUCCUGUUGACACAUUUAGAAGAAACGGCCACUGCAUGCCGUUCUCUACGUAUGCACAGCGCUGCGGUGCAAUUGUCGCUGAAGGCUGCGGAAGAGCAGCUUGAUUCCAUUUGUCCUUGUGGAGAUGGCUAAAUUGGACAGAUUUGCAUGCAAACGCACAAUACACACACAGUUUGAGUCCCAGCUUAUUCUGGAGGGGGGGAUUGGCCUUUUUGUCCCUGGCCACCUGGUCAAAAUACUAACAGCUGACUUGUUGCUGAGCCUUGCGAUGGCGAUAAAUCACAGCAGACCCCUCCCAAAUUUAUACGUACAAUUACACACAGCUCAGGGCCACAUCCCUUUUCUCGAACGCCAAGUCAAACACCAUCUAACUACGUUUUAUCCAAGAGUUUGCUUUUUUCUUUUGUUCUAAACAGAGAAAUUACUUCUGCUUUGUUUAUAAUGACGAUGCUUUGCUCUGUUAGCCCAGAGCUAAAGUCACUUGGACUGCUCUAGAGGAACAGUGGAAACAAAACUUUCCUUGUAAUUAUCAUUAAUGCUACCUGUAUCUUUGGAAAACCUCUUUUUACUUUUACAUAAAUGAAACCUUUUGACUAUUUUUCCCCACCCCAUUUACUUAAAUAUGCAGCUUGUUACUCUGCAUCUUGGUUUCCCCACACCGUCCCUGAUGUUAGCUAGAUGCAGUGGUUUCUACAAGCAACCCGCAGUAAUCCGAGCUCUUAAAAGCCCCGUACAUUCCACCCUCACUCAUUCAUUAUCACUUUGUCUACCGUCUUGACAGACUCCAUUUUUGCGGUAGUCCAACAUUCUCCAUUGACCUUACAAUGCUUGAUUAAGGGCAUUGGGCCUCUGGCGCCACUCUGUUUCCUCCAUGUUUAAUUAAAAGGUGAAGAAAGUCUUCUGUCUUGUGAUGAUGGCUUGAGUACAUGAUUCUUUCACUGCCAGCCCAAAAACCCCUCUCUCAUGUCUCCAGCCCCAGGCUUGAGCGUACGCACGUCCUUUCACUUAAGGCUAUUUUCCUAAGCCCCAAACUUUUUUUGACCUUCCGUAUUAUCGCUCCAUCUUUCAGUUUCCCUGUAAUAUAAGGAACUCCAUGAGAUUAUACAAGGAGACUUUCUCUUCCCAAUUUGUUUACUGACAAAAUGUCUUUCUUGUCGAGCAGGGAAGGAACCUAUCACCAUGCUCUAUAAUGUAAGUUACCUUGUCAAAGCCUGUUUAGAAUACAUCCUCAGAGGAGCCAUGCAGAGAGGAACACAGGGGUGCACUUAGUGUCAUUGCCGCUGGGGAGGGGGUUGUCGAGCGCUAGAGAAGCGAGGAGAGGGGUGCAGUUUCAUAUGUCUAUGGCAAUUAAUGCUUAUGUGACACAUUGAAAAAGGUCCCCUGGGACUGACAAAGCCAACAAAUUGACUUACUAUUUGAGCAGGAAGAUGUAGGAGGGGGGGGGAGAAAAAAAAGCAUGCAGCUUCAUCUUGUCAUAAUGAAUCUGGAAUCUAUUCCUGUCGGUGUUAUGAUUGCGGUUUAUUCCCUGUAUAUGCCAUAAAGUACAAGUGUGCUUACAGGGAUACCAUGUAGCUUUUGACAAGAUGGGGGUGGGGGCUGCCCUGAAGUAAUGACUUUAUCGUGUGAUUCUUGUAACUUACAUGACAAACAAAACGGUUACUUUGCUGCUUGCUAUAAACGUCUCUUUAGGGCCUGGAGCAAUGCAGGGACAGAGACAGAUGUUUCAUUUCAUGCCAUGUUUUCAAACUCUAACCCACACACAACACACAACACACAAAUAUUGCAUAUCUUAAAAUCCUCCACUCAGUCCUGAACGAUAAAUGAAUCUCACUUCAGUUCUUGUGCAGUACUGGAAUAGCCCUUCAGAUCAGGGAACCUGGUGUCCAUAAAGGUUCAGCCAGUGAUUUGGGCUUAUAGGGAGUGUUCAAAAUGACAGGAGUCAUUAGGUGGCCAAUUUGUUUUCUCAAGGGGUGCUGUGUUUGUGGCAUUCAGCUUUCCUCAGGGAAACAAGGCCAAUCAGCUUCUGCUUGUCAAGGACUACAAGGGCUGGUGACCUCUGACCCCUGCUGUGGCAGUGACUAAGUUUCAAUAAGAGGGCUACCCACACAUAGACUUUGUCACCCAAAUAGAGCAAAGCCUGCCCAAGAAUAUUUGGGAACUCAUUUUAGGAAACUCCGCCCUCCCUUUAUGGUUGUUUAGAAUAAAUAUCAAUGAAAACAAAUACAUAGCUAAAAAUAAGAACAGAUCUAAAAAUACUAACCAUACCGUUAUACAGAUGUGCAAGGUUGCUCUGAAGCACUGCACUUGUCUUGUGUGGUGGUGAUAUGUAUGUUUAUGCAUGAGUGUGUGUUGCUGUGUGUGAGUUUUGGUAUGGCGUGUGUGUGUGUGUGUUCAGUAUCAUAAUGGUUUGUGGAAAGAAACUGUUUCUGAGUCUGUUGGUACUGGUUUGGAUGGUCCUGUAGUGUCUCCUAGAGCAGCGGUCCCCACCGGUCCGUGAGUCGUUUGGUACCGGGCCGCGAGAGUUGAGGCUCAGGUGUAAAAUGUAUGGUUUUCAGGUUUUUUAUCAG